rnacentral:rRNA from 1 species
UACGAAGGGGGCUAGCGUUGCUCGGAAUCACUGGGCGUAAAGCGCACGUAGGCGGAUCUUUAAGUCAGGGGUGAAAUCCUGGAGCUCAACUCCAGAACUGCCUUUGAUACUGGGGAUCUCGAGUCCGGGAGAGGUGAGUGGAACCGCGAGUGUAGAGGUGAAAUUCGUAGAUAUUCGCAAGAACACCAGUGGCGAAGGCGGCUCACUGGCCCGGUACUGACGCUGAGGUGCGAAAGCGUGGGGAGCAAACAGG